rnacentral:lncRNA from 1 species
AAAUAGCGUACAUUUCUCUCCCGUAAAUCUAAACUUGACGUUGAUUUCUGGUAAGCUUCUAUUUUCUGUUCAUUCUCUCUUUAUGAAUUAUAUAUUUCACUUGAAUGUUUUUUUUAUCAGUGUCUUUUGUUAACCUUAAUUAGGUGCGAAGAAUUUUGAAUUCCUGUUUGAUUAAUGCAAUAAUUUAGGUCAUUAAGCAUAUUUUCUUAAAGAUUUUAAUGUUGGAUUUUAACAAAUUUUUUUUUUUUAUAAGAUGAAUUGUCUUCGAUUGAUUAAGCUUUGAAGUAAAUUGUGGAAUUCAGAAAUAGGGCAGAAAUGGAAGUUAGUAUGUUACAUUGGGUUUUAUAAUUCCUGUUUACAUAAACGA